UACGCGGAGGCCGGAGUACGCGUGGCCAGCCGGAGGCCGGAGUACGCGGAGGCCGGAGUACGCAUGGCCGGCCGGAGGCCGGAGUACGCAAAAUAUCCGAUCUAUGGAACGACCCCCUUGACAAUCGCGGAGCUUGAAUAUUAUACCUACUUCUCGGCCUCGAUGUAUUGUCCGAAAUCGUGGUGAGCUUCCGGGGUAGCGUCGCUUUCAUGAAUUGGAUUAUGGAUUCCAUUCUUCUUCCGACAGGAGUGAGCAAUGGCGGGAUUAAGGUACAUUUGGGAUUCUUUCUGAGUUUGAUGUCGAUCUAUAAUCCGGAAUUUGUAGGUUGUUAAACAAGUUGGGAUAUACCUUGCCAGAAGUCCAGGAUCUCGUAUCGUCGUGAACGGUCACAGUUUAGGAGGCUCGAUGGCAUCUCUGUUGGUCUACUUUAUGACAAGCCUAAACCAAUUUCCUUUCACGAAUUACGCCUUGGUAACUUCCGGUCAGCCGAGAACGGGAAAUGUUAAGUAUGCCGACUACAUGAAUUUCCUGAAUAUUCCGAUGAAUCGAGUGGUCGCGAGUUUCUCACGAUGUUUUACACUCUAAAUAAUUUUGAGACCAAUCGUCACCCGACGGAGUUCUAUAGUGCUCUAUUUUUUGGUAAUGAUUUAGGAGACGUUUUAUCAACAGGGGGGAUAAGUCAAAACUCAUGCACCAAGCAAACGUGCGUCGUCAUUUAAAAAAUUCAACAACGUCACAUGUGUUUGAUACUGUGAAGUUCCGUUUAUGUGGGGGGGGGGUUCACUGCAUUGAUGGUGGUGGUGAGGCAGAUGAGACGAUCGUCGUCGUUGUUGUACAUGGAAAUAAAUUGCGUCUUGGAGGCAAGGUGAGAUUUGGUGAGACAAAGUCAGGACAGGUUUUAUUGCACGUAUCAAGAUACAGGCAGUCGACUCGCUGUCGAUGGUCACUCUUGUUCUUACUUAUAUACCAUACGUAUACCUAUUUAGUCUACUUAUAUGUCUAACCGGUUAUUGGGUGGUAAGAGUUGUAAGAAUUAUAAGAGUUGCCUUUUUGACAUAGUGAUCAUUGAUCACUAACACAACUACGAAAAGGAGAUAGUGAGAGUUGCAGAUCUAAAGAACCAGUUUUUCAAUAAGGAUUUGGCAAAGAUCACCUCUUCACAGCUCUCAUGUUAUGAAGAGUCGGCCCGACUUAUGAAGCGAAAAAAUCCAAGAUUUGCGUCAGUGUACCUACUUCAAGGGUGUGCAUCACAUUGUUUGUGUUAAUUUGGAAACUUCUCAAUCCCAGGUAGACUAAAAUAGACUUAAAGUAACAGAGCGAAUUAACCAAUAAGUAGAAAUGGGGUUUGAUAUCUUGAAGAUGAACUGGAUUUUGUUGAUGCAGGGUCCUCAUUGCCCGCUGUGUCUCUGUGGGCAUCAUUUUUGCUCACGGGACAGGUGGAGAAAACACCUUCAAUCAUGUCAAGGAGGUCGCCGCUGUAAGAGAGGGCAUUGUCACAUGAUGGGGUGUAUUCAGCAUCCAAGUGGAAGUCUAAAAUAGUUUGAAUUUCGAAGUUUCGAGUCUCUUUCGCCUUUUUUAAAUUUUGGGGAGGGAACUAUGUUUUUGUUGAAAACCAAAUUGGCGAAAAUAAAUGAUCGAUUGAUUAUUACGAAAAUAAUUCCGAUGUUUGUAAUUAUUAUUUGUGUGAAAUGACAUCGCAUAAAGGGUAGACCAACAUGUAGCAAAGAUUGAUUGUGUCUGCUGCAGGUGUCGAAAGCGCCUUGGUGGGUGAGGACUGAAGGGUGGGAGAUAAUUUCUGGGUGUCUAUUGCAAAAUUCGUCGAACCACGCAAUGUCAACGGUUGAAGUGGCGUGACAAAACUUGUUGGAGCGUGGGGGUUUCACUGUUGUGGCGAAUACAUAAAAAAUUUGUUUGAG